UACGUAGGGUCCGAGCGUUGUCCGGAAUUAUUGGGCGUAAAGGGCUCGUAGGCGGUCUGUUGCGUCGGGAGUGAAAACUUACAGCUUAACUGUGAGCGUGCUUUCGAUACGGGCAGACUUGAGGCAUUCAGGGGAGAACGGAAUUCCUGGUGUGAGCGGUGAAAUGCGCAGAUAUACAGGAGGAACACCGGUGGCGAAGGCGGUUCUCUGGGCCUUACCUGACGCUGGAGGAGCGAAAGCGUGGGAGCGAACAGG
rnacentral:rRNA from 1 species